UGGUAUUGUAAACUUCAUAUAUCCCUCUAUAUACGUACCAAAUUUCGUUAGUUUUGGGUUACUUUUGGAAUGUGAAAAUCCUUGCCCAAAUCUGUCACUUACACAGCUAUAUCUGUUUUUACUGGUGCAUAUCAGUAGACUUUCGAAAUUCAUAACUAUUUCUAGAAAAAUCAUUUUCAGGUGAUUCAACUUCUAAGAUCUUCAUUAGGAUGUCUAGUUUAUUUCCUUAGAAGACCACGAAGUUAAAUUCUUUAUGGUUUUACCUUGAUUCCAUUGUGAAAGGGACUGGGUCAGGAAACUGUUUUGGUACUAGUUGUGUUAAGAUGGAUUACUUGUGGUUUACUUCGAAUCCUUUGUUUGUUAAAGUGUCCAGACAGUNNNNNNNNNNNNNNNNNNNNUUUGGUCUUGUCUCUGUGUAAGGUAGGAUUCUCAUCCCUUUGGUAUUUUCGAAUUCAGUUCUUGAGAUAUCAAUUACCUUGAUCCUUGAUUCUUAUUUUUGUUCAAUUAUAUGUUUCCUAUGAUUAAUUAUACAGUAGUAUUUGGACUUCGAAUUCACAGACCUGGUUAGAUAUCAGAGUUAGUUAGAAUUUCAUUUUGUUUUGUUUAGAAGUCGUAGUGAUUGCAGCUCUAAAAGAAUGGUGUUCUUGAGAUGUUCUUGAGUUGGGUGUCCAAAUCAGAUUUUGGAUCUUUUUGAUUCAUUGUUGGUUGUGUUUAGGAACAUCUUAGAGCUCUGGAAAUGUUGUCUAACUAUUUUGAAGCUUUAUAAUCUCUUUUACUACUCCAUAAAUCGAAUCAAAGUCUUCAAAUUCGAAAUUUCGUGUUGCUGGAAAUUUUCCAGAAAAGUGCAGAAAACCAUGAUUUCGGACCAACUUUACAACAUCAUAACUUUUAGCUCAGUUCUUUGUUUUCGAUUCCAAAAGUGGUAUUGUAAACUUCAUAUAUCCCUUUAUAUACGUACCAAAUUUCGUUAGUUUUGGGUUACUUUUGGUAUGUGAAAAUUCUUGCCCAAAUCUGUCACUUACACAGCUAUAUCUGUUUUUACUGGUGCAUAUCAGUAGACUUUCGAAAUUCAUAACUAUUUCUAGAAAAAUCAUUUUCAGGUGAAUCAACUUCUAAGAUCUUCAUUAGGAUGUCUAGUUUAUUUCCUUAGAGGACCACGAAGUUAAAAUUCUUUAUGGUUUUACCUAGAUUCCAUUGUGAAAGGGACUGGGUCAGGAAACUGUUUUGGUACUAGUUGUGUUAAGAUGGAUUACUUGUGGUUUACUUCGAAUCCUUUGUUUGUUAAAGUGUCCAGACAGUAAAUUGCUUAAUGUUACGACAUUAAGUUAUAUUUUUUUGGCAAUUGAAAGUUCCUUGUGUUGAGUUGCUUUAAGGUAGUUACUAACUUUGUAUGUACUUUACCAUUUGGUAAGGUUC
rnacentral:lncRNA from 1 species